UGGUGGGUAGUUUGACUGGGGCGGUCUCCUCCUAAAGAGUAACGGAGGAGCACGAAGGUUGGCUAAUCCUGGUCGGACAUCAGGAGGUUAGUGCAAUGGCAUAAGCCAGCUUGACUGCGAGCGUGACGGCGCGAGCAGGUGCGAAAGCAGGUCAUAGUGAUCCGGUGGUUCUGAAUGGAAGGGCCAUCGCUCAACGGAUAAAAGGUACUCCGGGGAUAACAGGCUGAUACCGCCCAAGAGUUCAUAUCGACGGCGGUGUUUGGCACCUCGAUGUCGGCUCAUCACAUCCUGGGGCUGAAGUAGGUCCCAAGGGUAUGGCUGUUCGCCAUUUAAAGUGGUACGCGAGCUGGGUUUAGAACGUCGUGAGACAGUUCGGUCCCUAUCUGCCGUGGGCGCUGGAGAACUGAGGGGGGCUGCUCCUAGUACGAGAGGACCGGAGUGGACGCAUCACUGGUGUUCGGGUUGUCAUGCCAAUGGCACUGCCCGGUAGCUAAAUGCGGAAGAGAUAAGUGCUGAAAGCAUCUAAGCACGAAACUUGCCCCGAGAUGAGUUCUCCCUGAGACUUAGAGUCUCCUGAAGGAACGUUGAAGACGACGACGUUGAUAGGCCGGGUGUGUAAGCGCAGCGAUGCGUUGAGCUAACCGGUACUAAUGAACCGUGAGGCU
rnacentral:rRNA from 2 species